AUUGAACGCUGGCGGCAGGCCUAACACAUGCAAGUCGAACGAGUGGCGGACGGGUGAGUAAUGUCUGUGAAACUGCCUGAUGGAGGGGGAUAACUACUGGAAACGGUAGCUAAUACCGCAUACCAUCAGAUGUGCCCAGAUGGGAUUAGCUUGUUGGUGGGGUAACGGCUCACCAAGGCGACGAUCCCUAGCUGGUCUGAGAGGAUGACCAGCCAAACUGGAACUGAGACACGGUCAGGAUUCCGACGGGAGGCAGCAGUGGGGAAGAUGGGACAAUGGGCGCAAGCCUGAUGCAGCCAUGCCGCGUGGAUGAAGAAGGCCUUCGGGUUGUAAAGUACUUUCAUCGGGGAGGCGUUACCCGCAGAAGAAGCACCGGCUAACUCCGUGCCAGCAGCCGCGGUAAUUC
rnacentral:rRNA from 1 species